UCUUCUGAAUUUCAUGUGAAUUUAAGAGGCAUUUUGAUUUCAGAAAAGAGGCCCAUCUUUUCCUAUAAAUAAGAGGGCCUCUCCUUUGUAUGAGCACUUUUGAGCUUGCAAUGUUAUGCUGCAGAAUUAAUUUCCCAGCUUCUUGUGCUCUGAAGUCACCUUGUUCUUCUACUUCUUCUCCCUUUCUCAAGCUUCCUUCCACCUUAGGAAGGCCUUCUGAGCUGUGAGAUCUCACCCAUACACAUCUCGUCCAUUAAAACACAUUGAACACUGCAUCAUCAAUUCAUUUUCCGCUG
rnacentral:lncRNA from 1 species